UAGGGAAUAUUGGGCAAUGGUCGAGAGACUGACCCAGCCAUGCCGCGUGCAGGAUGAAGGCUUUCUGAGUCGUAAACUGCUUUUACCAGGGAAGAAAAAAGGGGAUGCGUCCUCUACUGACGGUACCUGGUGAAUAAGCACCGGCUAACUCCGUGCCAGCAGCCGCGGUAAUACGGAGGGUGCAAGCGUUGUCCGGAUUUAUUGGGUUUAAAGGGUGCGUAGGCGGCUUUUUAAGUCUGGGGUGAAAGCCCGUUGCUCAACAACGGAACUGCCCUGGAAACUGGAGAGCUUGAGUACAGACGAGGGUGGCGGAAUGGAUACUGUAGCGGUGAAAUGCAUAGAUAGUAUCCAGAACCCCGAUUGCGAAGGCAGCUGCCUAGACUGUAACUGACGCUGAGGCACGAAAGCGUGGGGAGCGAACA
rnacentral:rRNA from 1 species